CUUCUCACCCGAACAAAGGAGAUGCUAUCCGUAGCAAACUUGAGACUCCACAAGAUUAUAUCCAACAGCCAAGAGCUAAUGAAUGCAUUUCACUCAGAGGACUAUGCUGCCAGCGUGAAAGACCUUGACCUUGGGUCAGACACACCUCCUUUGCAGAGAAGUCUAGGUCUGCUGUGGAACAUCAAAGAAGACACAUUCACCUUUCAAGUGUCAACCUGUGACAAACCUUUUACCAAGAGAGGAGUCUUGUCCAUGGUGAAUAGCAUCUACGACCCACUGGGAUUUAUAGCCCCAGUCACCACCCAAGGUAAGAUGCUUCUAAGACAGCUUACUACUGAUAACAUAGAUUGGGACACUCCGUUACCCAUGGAGAAACAACAAAGAU